GAACUUGUACCUUUUGAAGCUGGUUUGGGAGGUAUUCUAACCUGAGGUAAGCAGGAAUUUCAGUUAGAAAACUGAAUUUGCAAGAUUCCGACUAUAUUUGCUAUAUAUGUUGAUAUUGAUGCCGUCUCGAUGUUUUCGCAGCGAGAGUGCGAACGAGCUUUGGAUCGUCGUGAGCUGACUUGUGAGAGCUCUUGGAAGCGUCUCUUGAGGUAUUACACUAGUCCCAAAACAGGGAUUUAAGAGUUACUUUGUACUAAGUGGAAUUUAGGUCGAAAUCGGACAUUUCGGCCGUAGAUUUAAUCCGAUCUUGACGUUCGUUUUUCAGCAGCAUUGGGGCUUCGUUGAGCCGUUGUGGGACUUCUUGUGGAUAAUCGAGCCUAGUACUAGUGGGUCGGACCUAACAGAGCAAGUGAAGCUCCCCUAUGUCUAUAUGUACUAUAGAAUUGAUACAGUUGUAUGUUUUUGUGAUUGAUACAGAAUUGAGACGAGUCACUAUAUUAUAGUUAUAAUGUAUACAUUGAUUGAAUAGAACCUCUAUGAAGUAGAGAGUACUCAUGCAUAAGUGUCUUUAUGCCUAUGUUUAUGUUCAUAUUUAGUUAAGAUAACUAAUGGACAUACUAAUGAUGCUUUAGUAGAGUAGAGAACAAUGAUAUUCUCGUGACUUUGUAGAGAACCAUGACAUUCUCUUGACUCUAACAUAGGGAACUAUGACAUGCUCAUGACUAGUUGAUAGUGCCAUACUAGUGGAAAGAUUAUAAUGCUAUGUGAUUUAGCUUUACCCUUACAAUGUUUACAAUCUAGUGGAUACUAGCUUUGUUACUAUUUGUGUAUUGAUAUUCCGAUCAGAGGAUCGAGGGUUCUGAACUUUGUAUGUGAAAAUAUGAAAAUUGAGACAUGUGGAAAUGGACUUUGCUUGCUUGCCAUCGUGCUCAUUCGCACACGCUCGUGAGGGUAGCUCCCUACAAGCCGGCACUCCGGAAUUGGCCUAUGCGAGCAGUUGCCGCCCGUGCGGGAUUGGGUGCCGAAGUGGAUUGCCGUGGGGAGUGUAUACUACCACGGGGCCAUUAGGCGGCGGCGCAAGCUGGACUACCUUGAGUAGAUCCCUGUGAAUGAAAGAAAAAUGCUAAAGGAAAUUGGACAGUAAUGAAUAAUUACCAGUUACAGUGUACAGUAGUUACUUACACACUUAUGCUAUGUUUAUGCUUAUAGUAGUAGCCAUGCUUCUAUCAUUCAGUUGAUUCAUUACUGUUGAUGCUAUGAUCACAUGUUGUUUACAUGUCCAUUAUUUGUUAACAUUGGCUUAUGAAUUGUUAGCAUUGAAAAUACAUCAUGCAAAUUACUGCUUUAUUUCCAUUCUGUACAUCUCGAGCCUAGUGGUGUAAUUCGCCGAGGCUGGCGCCUUACCCACUGGGAACUAUUGUUAAUAGUUCUCGACGCCCUUUUGGUGGUUGUUUUUACAGAGCUUGUUACAGGAGAGGCAGGGAUCGUGGCAAGGGAGUGCGCUAGCUAGGGACUACUAGGAGCGUGCAGUCGAUACCUUGGUACUCGGCAACGGCCGAGGUGAUGUCAAAGAUAAUAGAGAGACCACCAUUGUAUCUAUUCUUUUGUACACCCGGUGAUGUAUAUUUACUUUCGGGGUUAGAUUAUAGUAGUGUUACUUCUCCUUUUUGUUGAGAUCCUGGAUCGUAUACUCUUUGUAUUAUUGACUUGGAUUUGAUACUCGUUGUAUAUCGACUUGUAUUUUGCUCUGAUAUCAGGAUAGGACUUCUUGUUUUACUUCUAUCGACUUGCUUUGUAGACGCCUUAUAUACUGCAGGUGUAUGGCGGGCUGUGCACGUGCGGAUAUGCUUCCGCUGUAUCCGCGUGACAGAUUAUAGUGGUAUCAGAGCCUAGGGUUGAUUCUUAGUAGACCUUGUAAACCUUAGGCUGGUUGGACUAUAAGAAUAGGCUCGUGAGAGACGAUGUCUAGUCGGGUUGUUGUUAGCGAAAGUAUUUUGAUUGGGUACUUAUAAAUAACUCCGAAUAGUAGGAGUUUGAUCGGGAUGUGCAAGUACUAACUUUGCAGAGGGUCACGUUGGCGGCCGACAACGUGACAUCGGAAGUUAGUAGGCGUUACAUUUCUUACUUUCGCUUGAUUAGCUGGUUUAUAUCCUCAAUGAGGGUUCAGUAGUAUAGGGUUUAUUGACCUAAUGUUUUGUUUUUGUGUUGCAGUUCAAGAUGCCUACGACUGUUCUGGAACCGCCGGGCGCUGAGGCGGCCGCUGCGGAAGAGGUAGAGACUUCCGUCACGUCGGGGUCCAGUGAGUCUUCAUGAGUUGCAGGAUCAGCUUGCGACGUUGACAGAGUUGGUUACUACAGCAGGCCGCGGCAGCACGACAGCAGAUAGACCGCGCGUCGGCAGGAGGACAGGAUGAAGAGGUUAGGGAUCUAUUACUGCGGCAGACGACCGAUAGAGGAGAUUCCAGGUUCUGUACCUCGGAUUCUGUACCUAUAGUACCAGAGAGGGCACCACAGUGAGAGCACAGUCACCGGUACCCGAUACACCCCAGUAGCUCCGAGGCAGAGACCCGGCGAGNNNNNNNNNNNNNNNNNNNNNNNNNCAGCUUGCCUGUGCAAGUUGACACUCGGACGUCUCAUCCCUGCAUGGGACCGGUUGCCCGCGCUGCGCAACCCUCGGCCUCAGGGGCAACCGGUCCCUCCGUCCUGGGACCGGUUCCGAGAAGCAAGGGCUGCGAAGACCACGUUACGGGACCGUCCUCCGCAGGGACGCGUCCCGAGAGCAAAAUCUGCUAUGUGCAGAUUCUUGCCACAUUUGCUCUCGCGGACUAUUCCCAAAGUACUCUGGUGCAUUUUCUUUGGGGGGGGGUGGGGACUUUCUUUCAGUUUUUUCUCUUUCCGAAGCACCCUUCUGCCUCAGACCAAUUAGUCGAUUCUUGAGCGAAGUCCAACUUCUCGUAUUCUGAGAAUUCACUUCCGCUUACUCCAACUCCUCCGCAGAGUUAUCGGCCUAAACUGAUUUACGUCGCCUCCACAGAUGCCACCGUUCACAAAUACUACGAUAGCCUAGCGCCUAACUGUCGCAAACUACGCAUAGCGUCUCCGCUCGGGAUCGUUAGACUCAAUCAUCAUUGGGCGAAAUUCUCAUUGGAGAAUUCGCACGCACUCGAAGCAGGAGGCAACCAGACCCCAAACCACAUCAAUGUCCUUCGAGUUGGGUUCAUAAUCAAACUCUCUAUCUCAUCGAUCUCGCGAUCAAUACGUGGCAUCCACGCUCCCGCGGUCUAAGCUCGGACUACCGUCCUUGACCAAAAUUCUGCCCUACCCGUAGGUAUGGGCCGCUAUCCACUUCACAGCUAACUGCGCCUGCCCAAGGGCCCGGCUCCACAGUCCAGCAAAUGUCCAGGCAGUCGUCCCCAAGCGAUACCCACUAUCGUCGUCCUACGAUGACAUACUCUAUCGAGCUAUUAAGCUACACUUAUCGGCUCCUAAGUACCUAGUGUUGAAGCCGCCAGCCUUACGAGUUCCAUGACUCGCUUACACUUAGCAAUUGCUUGAAGUAGUACUUUGCCAUCACACUCUCUUCGACUGAAUCAAAUCCGCACUCUACGAGUAUCUAAUCGAGCGCUCUAUACGCCGUGCUCCAAGUCCAGCAUUAGGCAAACCCUGCCUAUUGCACACCGGCCAACGGGCACGAUUUGCCACUUAAUUUGCAUGGCACUGCUACGGUCACGUGCAAUACUUGGCCCACUAAGUCGAUCGCUCUACACGAGUCUCACUUUUCGUUCCAACAAUCAUCACCACAUUUUGCUAGUGCUAUCUAUCUCUCUACCUGCUCCAGCAUGGCGCUACAUCUCACCACAAUGUAAAUCAUUGCAAUUCUUUAAGUCUACAUCAUCGCAGCAUAAGCGUAUUAUUGCUUUAAUCAAUCAUACCGUGGCACGAUGUACGUCCUCGACCCCAGCAGGUCGCCCGCUUGAGCGGCAAACACUGACUACUCGGCAGGAGCGACGGGUCACCUUCAAGCUGAUGCGGCCGCCUUCGCCACGUCCCGUGGAUACCCAGCAGGCCGGAACUCCCCAAACGUGCUCAGAACGCCGGGGGGAUGCUGCAGUCGGGGCAGGAAACAAUCCCUCAGGGCACCGACGGCGAAUAUGCCCGCCGACACACCUGAAGCACCGUCCUGCCUUAUGCUCACAGUUCCUGGCGCGAUGCUCCCACGCCAAAUUACACAUCGCAGGGGUCCCUGGCGCUCUCGGACUCUAUCGGUACUUCGGGAGCUUCCUUGUGAAACUUGACUGUGCCCCCCGACGCUACCGCAGCGUCGUUUUUCGCCCCCUUGUCCUUCUCGGACGCCUCGCGCUCCUUCGCACGUGGGCAUCACCAUGCCUCCGCCACAAUUGCUCGAUUCAAAAAAACCUCAGCACAAAAGGUCGUUGAGCUUGAAAAUUUAUGCACGGCCUUAUAAAUCCCGGCGAAGCCCUCGCACCAGACCACCACGUCGCGCCGUCCCCGGGUCAUCUGAACAAACCUCCGGGACCCAAUCUCAUGAUGUGGAGAGAAUUCUUGCUCGUAGUCCCCUACCGAGCGUUUCCCCCUUGUUCAACUUUGCCGAAAACUUCUCCUGCAGUUUUCGCUUCACCGAUGUCGGGAAAAUUAGUGGCGAAUACACUCGCCCUCUUAAACUUCCAUAAACAUAGGCGGAAGGUCAGAAGGCCGGAUCUCGCUUCACCGCUUCCACCACCACCUGUCGCCGCUUUCUCCAAGCAGUGUGUGGAGAGACUCACCUUUGUCUUUCUCCGAGGUUAUAGAGAUCUCAAAAAGUAGUCUCCAUUGAGUCAAUCCAUGACUCCACGCAUCGACGGCUCCACUUUCUUCCCCUUCAAAGAUUGUGGGUUUGAACUUCUUGAAUUGUAAGAGCCUGUCAACGAACGCUCUCGUCCAUCUCCUCGGCCGCCGCAUCGGGUAUCACCGAACCGAAGCCGACCGCUGAGAAACACCUGCUGGCGGGGGAUGCGCCGCCGCCGGAGCUGCCGCAAUGCCCACACCCUCAGCGAUAGUCUACGCGCAGCCGAGCGAGGGCACGGGCGGACCAACGGCUUCAAACUGCCGUCGGCGCGCCGCCGGCGCCACCUGCCGCUCAAAAGUUCCAUGACCGCAUCGACCUGACUGGUCAGCCGCCUGGUAACUUCGCGCUCGUAACUCCUGCACCUCGCUAGCCCAACAGGCUCUGGCAACCACCCGGAGGUCCAGCCUGUUGCACCACGGAGGUUGGUGCCGGAACGGAUCUACGCACGUAGUGUUCCUUGCGGUGCCAUUGGCUCCUGAAACAACAACAACUUGGUUAAUCAUCUUAACCGCUAAUUCGGCCCACAAUUGCGAAACAACGCGGACUCAAUAGCGCAAAUCGAGGGAAGCACACAGUGUACUUGUUUAAACCCUUAGCGUUUGUGUUGUCGGCCGCCAAACACAACAUUCAAGCCAAGAAACUCAUACCACUUGAAUCAUCUCUAACACCCAUUUAGAGACAUUACAUCAAGCUUCGACCAAUCGAUCAACUUCCGCCACCCGUAUAGGUUCACUCGAUCACGCACCAUAGCCUUAAGUUUCCAUUCCUAGGGUCUCUAGGUCAAUCUUAGACUCUCUCUUUGCUUUGCUCUCGUAACUCAUGAUACCAUUUUACUCUGUCAGCCCGGGACCGAUACCAAAUUUGGUCGGUUUCGGCAGUAACAGACGCGGCCACCGGAAACACCUCCCCUGUCGCAAGGCUAAGCGACGAGAUUGUUGUUACUAACAAAGUUCCCAGUGAAAAACUUGAAUAAAUAGACACAAUCAUACAACAAAUGGCAGAUGCACAAACAGUGCUGAACAAUACGGAGAGCAAGCAUCACAAGUAGAUAUCUACAACGUGAAUAAGAAGAGUACUACUAUCUAUUUACAUCAAUUUGACAUUUUAAUCCAUUCAACUUUUAUAAACUUGAUUACAUUAACGCUUCAAAAUGAAUAAUAAUAAUCUAAACAUGCUAUAUAAUGUAGUCUAUUCAAAUAUAAUCAUGUCAUCUAUGAACCAUGCACACGGGGUGCUUAGUACAAUAGGAAGCUCUGCUAGCUAGCAAAGGGCGUACGCUCUACCGGAUCACUGUCGGCCGCUCUCGCGAUGUACUGUCCCCAACACAGCGGGGUGAGAACUAUAUAAAUUUAUAGUUCCCAGUGGGUUCGGCCGCGACUCGCGAUCUUCACUAGGUUCUAGCUGGCCACAGAUAGCAUAGAUAAAUAGUAUAUGAAAAUAACUGCUACUAUAUUACUAUUGCACCAAUGCAAGGAAUGCAUGGCAAAUCAUUUAUUCAUGCUAGUAUGCUUCGAACGAUGUAGUGAUACAAAAUGCAACAUUGUUAUGUAAUCCUUGCUAACAUAUCUAUGUUAAUCCAGGUAGUGAAUGCAAAUCAACUUAUGCUAUUCAUGUCAUUACCCAAACAUAGGUACCCCGCAUAAGAUACAAUAUCUCAUAGUAUCACACACAAUUCUAGUAGGUGAAGGGUGAGAGCUACCACCGUCUUCGGUCGACUGAUAUCAAUCAUAGGUGAGGAGCUACCCGCUCUUAUUCACCGUCAUGACUCAAAGUAUAGAUGAAGAGCUUACCCCGCAUCUAAUCUCAUAGUAAUGAGCUGUCCCGCUCAAUCUCAAAGGUCAAGGAGCUACCCGUCGUAGUAAAGAGCUACCCCGCUCAUAGUAAAGAGUACCCGCUCUUAAUUUACACAGGUGAAGAGCUACCCCGCCCUUCGCGGCCGACUCACUGGUCCCAGUUCCAAUGGGGGGAGUACCUCGCUCGUAUCCCACCGAUGAGCUACCCGCUCGUGAGCUACCCCGCUCGUGAUUGCAAACUCCGGAGUGCACUGCUUGUGGGGGAGGCGCCGCACAAGCCCAAAACAGACUAUGUGAGUAUAAUACAUCUCGCCAACUGGGGAUACCCUGUCAACUAGGUUAACAAUCACUUGAUAAUUCACAUAUCCCUAGGUCCAUGUAGUGUCUCAACCAUAUCAAAUCUCAUGCACUCACCUAGUCUAAGCAACUUUAGGUUCCACAACACUAGGUUUAAUGUCAACCUAUGUUUAACAACAUUAUAUUAAUCACUUCGAUCUAUCCUAGUUCACGACUAGUUUAGAUGCACAUAAUCUCCAUAAUUAACAAUAGGUUAACAUUCAUUUUAUCUAGCAUAUAUGUUCUAUAAGCAACAUGCAUCAUUAAUGCUAAUAUGCCAUUAUCAACUAGCAUGCAAAUCCGUUCAUAAUGCUACAUGUCAUACAAUCUCCAUUACACUAGUUCACAUGUUACGUAGUUUUAUUAUCAAGUCCAAGUUCUUUGUUUUUCUUUACAUUAUAGGUCUCAUGUCUCAACCUUAAUCAUCAUGAUUCUAGAUUUUAGCUGUCAAGUUAUAUAAUAUAUACUACAAUAGACAUGCAUGCAAAAGAAGAAUAGGAAUGUAAUAUUCAUAUAUCCUAUAAUGCAUAGACGCAUAUAUAUGAUAUGAUCAAAGAUCUAACUUGAAUUAGAAGAAGCGCCGAUUGCUCGCAUAGACACCCCCCACCUUUUUAUAAAGCGCGUUCCGAUACUGCUCGUCGUCACUCGCAAUGCGCCUCUCGCGGCACUCGGCACCGUUUGGGGCCGAUCACACAGUUGCACUUCAAGAGCGCACCGUUCGCCGCCUCAAGUGCAGAAGCUCUUCGGUUUUCCUGUUACGACGCUCCGGGAUCCAAUCCCGAUUUGUGGAAAGCCGCCUGAGCUCCCGGGUCAACCCUGAACUAUGAACCUUGCUUUUCAGCCGGAACGUCGCACCCGCCUCGACGACAUCGACGAACCGUCGCUUCCUAGCGCGUUCGGAGACACAACAAUUAGGUUUCUGACCACUCAAUUUAGAUCAACCCAAGUAUUUACAAAAACCCAUUUUGGAGCCCUAGGUGGUUCAACAAUGCAAGAAUACCUCAACAAGGUCUUGAAUCAUGCAAUUAACACCAUAUUAACAUCCUAGGGUUCAUCUAAAACCAUCUUUAUAGUUAUAAGAGUCUAACCCUAAAGAAUUCACCAUGAUUGAGCUUAGAAGCUUACUCUCCAAGCUUGCUACUAGCCAUGGAGGAGAAGAAGAAGAAGAAAUCCCUUCUCUUGAUCUUGAUCUCCACCAAAAAUCCUCUCCUCAACACCUUCUAGAGAGAGGAAGAGCACUUAGAGAGAGAGAGAGGGAGAUGCUUUUGGUUGAAAUGAGAGAGAGAAGGAGAGAAAAGGCUCCAACUCUCUUCUAUACACUCCGCCACAAUUGCACAAAGGUCCCUAAACAGUAUAAGUGUUGCAAGCCAAACUGGGCCAUUUUCGGGUGCUGGGACCGGUCUCUGGACUUGAGGGACCGGUUCCCGAAGGUCCCAAAAACAGCAUUUCCAGACUUAGCCAAAUUUUCAGCUUUUUCACCGUUUUAGCUCCGUUUUCGCUCUGUUUUCGCUCGUUUGACCUCCGAUUCUUUUCAAUCGAACGAGACUCUCAAACUGUUUUCGAGCAUGUUUUUCAUCAUUUUUCAUCCACGCUAAAGCCGGAUUUAGUCCAUAGUCGACAUAGCCUUCGGGUCCCGUUUUUGCCACCUACGCGCUCCGAAACCGCCGAAGGCUUCGAACUUCACCGAACCUCACCGAAACCAUUCAAAUGCUUUCCAAACUAAAUGACACGUAACCUCAUGAUUUAGAAUCCGGUACCUUACAUCUCAGCUCAAGAGAAGCCUAGGGCUGGCGUGCUGAUAUAAGAAGCCCACCAAUCGCGAAAAUCCCCUGCAGUUCAAACUGCACGAAAUCAGCCCCUUGUACCGGUACACGGGCCUUGUUACCGGUACAAACCUGCGAAAUCAUAACCGAGCUCGGGUCGCAGGGUAACGCCGGCCUUGUACGGUACAAGCCAGUGGUGUACGUACAACAUCACCCAUGUACCGUUACAGCAUCAAUCUUGUACCGGUACAGCCGUCAAGCCUGUACCGGUACACAGCCCUCUGAGGCUACCGAAGAGCUAACCAAAAUCUAUUUUUUUUGGGUUUUGGUGCAGGCUUUAAACCACAAUUCUCGGGAUACGAACCAUGGGUCGGAACACCUGUCAACGACCUCCACAAAAUAUGGAAAAGCUCGGAACACAAACCAAACACUCGACUCGCUAUUUGCAAAGUCCAGUGUGUUACACAUUGUGUACCGGUAACAGCCUUGAAUGGUUGUACGGUACAGGAUUUGUACCGGUACACCUUGAUGUUGUACCGGUACACCUAUGGGUUUUCUGCAACCGAGGCUCGGUGGGCUGUUUGUGUAGAGUGUAUGUUAGUUAUAUUACCCUAUAAGCCAACUUGUCAUAACUUAAAGGGUUAAUAUCAGUAUACUUUUCUUUUAUGAUAAAUCUGGCAUUCUUCAUUCAUAUUAUUGCCGAAUGCAUAUUUAUUGAAUCGUCCAUAUGAAUUAAUAGUUAGAAGAAUUAAAUUCUUAAGAAGUUAGAAAUUUGAGACUUUUAUUCUUCUGUAAUUAAUUCUUAAAUGCUCCUGAUCAUAGGAAUUAUUACGGGGGCGGUGCUAAAUCCGGAUAGAUCAGUGUAUGUGUACUUCCUUUAUAGGAUGAGAGUCUCAAGUCAUUAGUGUGGUGACACUAGAGUAAGCAUACAGUGAAUGUUGGAGAACAAUUUCACUAGGCGUGACCCAACUAUAAAACAAUCACUGGAUGUCUACUCACUCGUCAGUGGAAUUGUUCCGUACUGUAGUUAGUUGAGUGAUCUUUUGACCUGAGGCACCACGGUUAUCUUGCGUGUGGUUAUUGUAGUUUGACUGUGUAAAUACUUAUACCCUAAUCAUGGGUUAAGUCAAACAUGUUGGCUGACCUGGGUCAUACGUGGAGGUAGGUUGUGUGUCAAGAUGAAUCUUAUCACCCUCGGUAGAGAGGUAAUUGUCCUUGCUAUCUGUUUUACAAGUCCUUGGCCAAGGCAGUUGUGUUUUAUGGAAAAGAGUUUUCUAUAUUAGUUUGUCAAUCAGAUAAAGACAUAUGAUUGAGUAAUGGGGUUUGACGAGUUAUCCAUAACUGCGACUCAAUCGGGACAAGUGAUAGAAGGAUUUUAUCACACGGUAACUACACCUAGAGGUUCGUCUAUUAUUAAAUUCUACUUGGAUUUGCCACAGAUAUACUGCUAGGUGUCACUCGUGGAAUUGUGGGCCCAUGAGAGUAAUUAGAUAGUUAAUUACACUCAGUUGGGAGCCAAAAAUGUUUUGUCCAUCGAGAAGAGUUUCGAUGGUGAAUUAAAAGAGUUUACUGUCACAUCUCACUACCAGGUAGAAUUGAACCUAUUUGGUCACACACAAAAGGCUGCGUGUGAUCUAGUGCUUGGGGAAUUAAUAGAGACUAUUUGCUUAGAGUUAAAUUGAUUAGCAAGAAGGACCAAUUUGUAAAAUUUUAGAGUUAAUACAAUUGUUGCAUAGGUGCACUUGCCGCUGAAGUUACUAAAAGGAGUUUACGAUCUUUCUCUCAUCAACUCCUCAAUUAAUAAAGAUUAAUUGAGGAAGUUACAAAGUGAAAUUAAACAAGAAUUAAGGGAGAGACCAAAUGACUAUACGUUCACUUACUCUAUUAAUGAUAUAGUUAAUAAAGUGAAAAUGAAACCUCCUCUUCUCUCUUUCUCCACUCGUUUCUCUUCACUCCACCGAUUAAAUGAGAGAAAUUGAUUCCUAUCAUUUAUGGUGGUAGUUUUUCUCUCGCUCUUUGCGAACAAUGAGAGGAGUUUGAUUCCCACUCAUUCAUGGCGUUUAAGCCUAUAAAAGGAGAUGUAAUCCUCCUCAAUGAAGGGUGUGAUUUUGUAAAAAAGUAUGACGAAAGAUAGAUAGUUUUAAUCAUAUAUAGAAUUCUCUUUUAAGCAUAAGAGAGAGGUCCUCUUAUUAAUUUGUCUCUAUUGUUAAUCCUCUCAAAUUGCUAGCACAAUUUUGAGAUUAAUUUUUCUCCACAUUGACACAAGAGAUCACGAAAGGAGUUUCGAGAUUACACUGUGAUUUGUGAAGCACAGAUCCCGGAGAGCCUUGUGUGGAUACAAUAGAGGCGAACACUUGUGCGGCUAAAAGGACAGAGUUCCAGAUUCCACAUCAACCGCUGAAAUAAUUUCGGUAAUUUGCCACAGGUUGAAAUUCUCGAACCCUUCUUCUAUUAGAUUAGAAUAAUAAUUUUGUGUGUCACACGAGAUGAUCUUGAUACAUAUAUAUACUAAUAUCAUAAAAUGUUAUGAUAUUAAAGAUAUCAUGAUUGGAUCAUAUUUUAUAAAUUAAAUUUAAUUUCGCUGCAUAAAUGCACAUGCAGAUGCGCACAUUUCCUUACAGUGUACCGGUACACUUUCCGGGUACCGGUACACAAUGGCGACUGGGUUGUUUUUCGGGGAGGGGUGUAUUUGCAAUUGUUGCAACCUCUUUAAUACCACCCAGCCCCCUUAGCUGCUCUUUGAGCCCUUAACCUGAGGAGACAAGGUAAGAACUCCCCCUCUUGAGUUCUUUUCUUUUUUUGAUAAUUUUUGUGGGUUUGUCACGCCCGGGACCCGGCAUAGGCCGCCCGGUGCUGUGCCCAGACCCGCCAUAUGCCUACACAUAUAAGGCGUCUACAACAAUAGAAAUAUAAAAGCAAGGAAAGUAGAACAUCUAUAAAUAUCAGAGCAACUAGCAGCUAAAGACUAACAACAAGUAGGAGAAAGGAAACUGAACACUAAGGCAUAAUGUAAACUAAUACAUCAUAGAUCUCAAGAUACAAAAGUAGGGUGGUGUAACACACUGGACCUGUGCAAAUUGCGAGGUUCGAGUGUUUGAUAUGGAUUCCGAGCUUUUCCAUACUUGGUGGAAGGUCGUAGAUGGUAUUCCUACCUAAAAGUUAGAUUUCUGGAUUUUGGCUAAGUCCUGAGAGUUUCACUCUCGGGGAUCGGUCCCUGGUGGGAGAGACCGGUCCCCCCGGAAUAGUGCUGCGGCAGGACUUGAGGCAACCGGUCCCUGGCGGGUGAGACCGGUCCCCGAGUACGUUUUCGCGGGGAGAGACCGGUCCCGUGCGGGGAGAGACCGGUUCCCGAACGUUGGAUUUUCGGGGCAGGCUGAGAGACCGGUCCCAGGUCGGGGAGACCGGUCCCUCAGUCCGAAAACUGCCCAGACCCGGGCAGUGUACAGGUUGGAUUUUUGAGGGACUUAAGUGAAUUUUGUUGCUUCAAAGGGCCUUAGGGCCAUUUCCUCUCCCUCUCACCCUCAUUUCUCUCCCUCACAUUCUCUCUACACUCUCUAGAAAGAGAAGAAGAAGGAGAAGAAGAAGAAGGAGUUGAAGGAGAGCUACUUGGAGGCCUUGGAGCAUUAUCCCUUUCCUCCUAUCUCAACUUUGGUGGCUUAGAGCUUGUGGUUGGAGCUUUGAGGAGGAUCAAACUUCAACCCUAGAGGAUUUUGAGCUUGGUUUGGAGCAUCUAGAGGUAAGUGGCUAGUUUUCUUCCUCUAGAUCCUAGUUUUGAAGCUUUAAACUAGAUGAAACCUUAGAUUUUGGGAUUUAGGGUUUAUUUUGGGGAUUUUCAAUUUGAGGGCUUUGAAGCCUAAUUGAUGGGUUUAGAACUUUUAUUUAGGUUGGAUUUGAAGAACUCUAACUCCCAUUUGGAGCUUGAGAGAGGAUUUCUUCACUUGAGGUGAGUUUUCCCCACCUUAGCCUAUGUUGCUUAUUGAUUGAGCUUAGGGUUGAUCGUAAGGUUCGUUUAACCCUUGUUCCUACAUCUUUAGGGUGCUAGGAGACUAGUGGACACCUUCGUUGGAGCAAACGAAGAAGCGCAAGAGUUGUGGUGGAUUUGGCUUCAUGAAAACGGGGCGAAAUGGCCCCCAUGCUUUCUAUACUCGUGGUAACGUCAUUUUAAAUGCAAAUCUAUGCUAAAUGGAAUUUAUGUGAAUUUUAGAACACUUAAAAUGCAUGUGUUAUGUGUAAGAUAAUUUUCACUCUAUAUAGUAGAGCUUUCUGGGUAUUGUUACAUGCAUUGGGUAGUGUUCGCACUAGUUGUUUGGAAACAUGCUUCAUAUGUUUAAAGCGGCUCAAUUAUGCAUUUAUGAACAUUUGGUUUAAGCUUGGACUUAGUAAAUGAAAGUGUGAUAAAGGGGCACUUAGACUAGCAAACUAUGAGACUAUUGUAUUGAGACUUAGUGAUAGGCUAUGGACAUCUACUACCUUCCAUGUUUCAGACAUGAUGACAUAGAGAUAGGCCUAUGAGAGAGUUGUGACGUAUUCCAUGUUGUUAGACAUGAGGACUUGGUACUUGAGACGGAUCUUUUGGUUACUUGCCAUUGUGCUCAUUCGCACAUGCUUGUGAGGGUCGCUCCCUACAAGCUGGCACUCCGGAGAUGGCCAUCGCAAUACAUAUUCGCCGUGCGGGAUUGGGCGCCGAAGUGGAUUGCCGUGGAAAAGGUUAUUCCUAGAGUGGGGAUGUUUACUACCACGGGGCCAUUAGGCUCGGCACCGGCCAGACAGCCUACGGGUGGGUCUUAGGGCCAGACAGCCUUCGGGUGGGUCUCUUCAGAUUUGACUGUGAGCAUUCAUCAUGCCAUGUGGACAUUGACUAGAAUAGUAAACAAUGACAUCUUUACUAUUUGACUUAUGGACAUCAUAUUAGCGAUGCUUGGGUACUUUCAUACGAGAAUAGUUUUUCUUACUUAGCUAAAUCAUGCUAAGUAGAGAUAUCAUGUGGUAGCAAAUAUUCAUACUUAUUUACUUGUCGUACAUAUCGCUCUUGUUUAUAUCUGCUUACUGACCCCCUUUCUAGUUUGGGCCUAGUGGUGCAUUUCACUGAAGCCAGUAAUUGCCCACUGGGAACUAUUAUUCAAUAGUUCUCACGCCCUCUGUUUUAUGGUUUUAUUUCAGAGCCUUCGGCACCGGCGGAGGCACGGGAUCGCGGCAAGGGAGUCGCAUAGCUAGAUAGCGGAGCUUGCUGUUGGUCCUAGGUGGUCACUCUCUUCCUUUUUGUUUUUUUUUUGUGAGAGAGAGAGUUUUGUACCAUGUAUAGGGACCACCUGUGUACCUUAUUUAGCAUUUGUAUUUGGGAUUCUUAUUGUAUUACUUUAUGUUUCUUCUAGUGGAUUUUAGUUUAUGGUUCUUUUCCUCUAUUGUAGCAUCUAGAUAUACUUGCUCUGAUACUCCUAGAUGUUCUCUUUUUACUGCUUCAUUUAUCGCUUUAUUUUAGACGCCUUGUAUGUUUUAAACAUAUGGCAGGUCUGGGCACGCGUCGGGCGGGCUUUCGCUGGGUCCCGGGGCGUGACAGAUUAGUUUGGUAUCAGAACCUAGGGUUGAGUCUUAGUGGACCUAGCAAACCUCAGGCCGGUUGGACUAUAGGAAAUAGGCUCGUGAGAGAUGAGGUCAUUUGACUUGUAAGCGAAAGUAUUGUGAUUGGGUAUCUUAAUAACUCUAGAAAAUGGAGUUAAAUCGAAGUGUAUAGCUCCUAACUUCGCGGAAGGUUACGUUGGCGGCCGACAACGUAACAUCGGGAGUUAGUAGUGAAGCACACUUCAUUACUUUCGCAUGAUUUGGGUAUUACCUACUUGAGUGGGGAUACGAUAGCGUGGGUUACUAACUUACGCUUUUAUGAUAUUGUAGUGUGAUGCCGAUUACACGCUUCCAAUCUGCCAGAGCGGAUAACGCGGCAAAUCUGGAGGAGGUCGAGACCUCCGCUACCUCCGGAUCCGGCGAGGUCCGAGAGUUCAGGGGCCAGCUUGCGGCCCUCACUGAUAUGAUGGCACAACAGACGGAGGCAGCGCGACCCGCUGGUGGGUCGGCGGGUCAGUCGAGUUCUAAGCGACCCCCGCGACCACAGCGAUCGUACGGGCGGGGAGGCAGGAGCCAGACGACUUCCUUCCCGUGUGUUAUUUGCGGCGGGAAUCAUAGGCCCAGGGACUGUCCCCAGUGCGUGAUCUGUGGUGGUCCCCACAUUCCACCGCAGUGCCCUCAGCGGGGAGGGAGGUGUUUCCAGUGUGGCUAGGAGGGCCACUUUCGGACUGAGUGCCCGAGAGGUUCUUCACCGGCACCGUCGACUGCAUCGGCAUCGGCUCUACCAGCCGCUAGCCACCGGACUCCGUCGACACAGUACCAGCCUGGGCGGCCACCCGUCCAGCGCCAGAGCGAGGGAUCUCGACAGGCCCCGAGCGGGCGUUUGUAUGCCGCUCAGACCGAGGAGGCGGCAGCAGCCGAGGAUAUGGUUGCAGGUAUUAUUUUACUUGAUGGCAUUAGAGUUCGUGCUUUAUUUGAUACCGGUGCAUCGCAUUCAUUCAUAGAUCGGCUGUUUGCCAAGUUGCAUGGCAUCCCUUUGGUUUCUUUGUUGCAUCCGGGACAUGUUGUAGUACCCGACCACACUCUGGAUAUUAGAGAGUAUUGCCCUAGUUGCCCUGUUCGGGUAGGAGUUUGGAUCAUGCCCGUGGAUUUGCUAGCUCUGCGCAAACUAGGGGAUUUCGAUGUGGUCUUGGGUAUGGAUUGGCUAACCAAGUAUUAUGCCACGAUUGAUUGUAAGAAUCGCACGGUUACUUUUAGAGAACCGGGGUAGACUGAGGUUGUGUUUAGAGGAUGCCGAAGUUCGCUUUUCGCGAUGUCGAUCAGCUCGUCUCGAGCUAGGCAGCUGAUCAGCCGAGGAAGUGUAGCCUACUUGGCUAGUGUUGUGUUGAGGGGCGAGGAUGACACCCCUAGGAUUGAGGAUAUCCUGGUGGUACGGGAGUUUCAGGACGUGUUUCCAGCUGAGCUACCUGGUAUGCCACCCGAUAGGGAGAUCGAGUUUGUGGUAGAUCUCGUCCUUGUGACUACUCCAAUCUCGAAGGCACCCUAUAGGAUGGCACCGGCGGAGCUGAAGGAGCUGAGGGCACAGCUACAGGAUCUGUUGGACAAGGGCUUUAUUCGACCGAGCGUCUCACCGUGGGGAGCGCCAGUUCUGUUCGUCAAGAAAAAGGACGGAUCACUUCGCCUAUGCGUGGACUAUCGUGAACUUAAUAAAGUCACGAUCAAGAAUAAGUAUCCGUUGCCGAGGAUCGACGACUUGUUUGAUCAGCUUCAAGGAUCGUGUGUGUAUUCCAAGAUAGACUUGCAGUCGGGAUACCACCAAUUAAAGAUCAAACCCGAGGAUGUAUCGAAGACGGCUUUUAGAACACGGUAUGGACAUUACGAGUUCACAGUUAUGCCGUUCGGGCUUACUAAUGCCCCGGCAGCUUUUAUGGAUCUGAUGAACCGUGUCUUCAAGCCUUACUUGGACAGAUUUGUCGUGGUGUUCAUCGACGACAUUUUGGUUUAUUCCCGAAGUGACACGGAUCACGAGGAGCAUUUGAGGCUUGUACUUCAAAUACUUCGAGAAAAUGAGCUGUAUGCCAAGCUGAAUGUAAUACACUGAACUUUUGCAAAUUGCGGAGUUCGAGUGUGUGGAAUGAAGUGUGGAACUACUCUACAUGUUCUAAAAGGUUUGGACAAGUUUUUGAUCAAGUUAGAGGAUGAUUGGAAAGCUAGAAGCAAGAAAGUGCAUUUGUAAUACACUGAAUUUUUGCAAAUUGCGAAAUUCGAGUGUGAGGAAUGAUAUUUAGAACCCUCCCAUAUGUUCAAAAGGGUUUAAAGAUGUUUACACAUAAGUUUGAGAGUGAUCGGAACGUCGGAAACAAGAAAGUGCAUUGAACAGGCGAAAAUCAGCUUUUUCUGCUUACUGUACCGGUACAGCCAUUAGCUUGUACCGGUACACAAUGCAGAAACGUGGCAGCUUGGGUAUUUCGGUAAUUUCACACUUGAUACCUAUCCACUUGACCCCAGCUCGACCAGGGAUGCUCAGUGGGGGUUGCUGGAGCUCAGAGAAUGGUUCUCCCACCUUCCUCACUCUCUCUCUCUAGGGUUUUUCUCUCUCUACCUUAAAGUCGCCGUUUUGCGCCGUUUUCGCGCCGCGCUCGAUUCUCGCUGGUUAGAAGACUCGAGGGAGGUCUUUGAAUUGUGGGAAGAAGGAGUUUUGCUGUGUUUCUAUGAGGUUACUGCCAGGGGAAGCUGGAUUUCAGCUUUAGAGAGGUAAUCAACUCGAUUUCUCUCUAGUUUUCGGUUUUAUAUUGAAUUUGAACAUCUUUUCGUGUUGGUGCUUCGAACUGAAUUAGAGGCUGUUUUCAGCAGUAAAGAUGACUUAAGUAGCUGUGAAUUAGCCCAGGGAUAAGCUGAUUUGCCACUUGAAUAAGUAAUGAGUAACUAUAAUGCGAAUUCGGAACUAUACGACGUUUAAUUCCAUAAUUGAUGCAAGUUGGAAUUGGUACCUUCGCAGCAGGUUUCCUGAGUCCAUUGAGCUUAAUUGGUAGCCUUGGGGACUGGUUUAGAAGUGUUCUAACUUGAGGUAAGCAGGAAUUUCAGUUAGAAAACUGAAUUCGCAAGAUUCCGACUAUAUUUGCUAAUAUAUGAUGAUUUUGAUGCCGUUUCGAUGUUGUUCGCAGCGAGAGUGCGAACGAGCCUUGGAUCGUCGUUAGCUGACUUGUGAGAGCUUUUGGAGACUUAUCUUGAGGUAUUAAACUUGCCCCAAAGCAGGUGAAAGUUUUGAGGAGCCCAAGGAUCUAUCUAGAUUGUAUCUAUCACCUAGAGGGGGGUGAAUAGGUGAAAUAGCCAAAAACCACAAAUCUCGAUGCAAUAAAAAUAAAUGCGGAAAAUAAAAAGCACACCGAGAUUUACGUGGGAAAACUCCAACUUGGAGAAAAACCCACAGGACCAACACGCGAAAAAAUAAUUCACUAAGAAAAAAGAUUACAAGGUGAUUACCGACUCCACGGACUCAACCUCUCUUAACCUCCUACGAAUCUCCGCGCAAUCCUCCUGGUUGUCCACGCCCUCACGUCCGAAUCCACGAACGCCUCCACUUUGAAUCCACGAAGCUUCAAUCACGCCGAAUCCACGACGCCACUCGAAUCCACGAGCCCACGAUCCGAAUCCACGAACCGCCGUCAAAA
rnacentral:lncRNA from 1 species